rnacentral:rRNA from 1 species
CAAUAGCGUAUAUUUAAGUUGUUGCAGUUAAAAAGCUCGUAGUUGGAUUUCGGAUGGGAUUUGCCGGUCCGUCGUUACGAUGUGCACUGGCCAGUCCUAUCUUGUUGUCGGGGACUAGCUCCUUGGAUUCACUUCCUGGGACUAGGAGCUGACGAGGUUACUUUGAGUAAAUUAGAGUGUUCAAAGCAAGCCUACGCUCUGAAUACAUUAGCAUGGAAUAACACGAUAGGACUCUGGCUUAUCUUGUUGGUCUGUGAGACCAGAGUAAUGAUUAAGAGGGACAGUCGGGGACAUUCGUAUUUCAUUGUCAGAGGUGAAAUUCUUGGAUUUAUGAAAGACGAACUUCUGCGAAAGCAUUUGUCAAGGAUGUUUNCAUUAG